rnacentral:rRNA from 1 species
GACGAACGCUGGCGGCGUGCUUAACACGUGCAAGUCGAACGAUGAAGCCGGAGCUUGCUCUGGUGAAUUAGUGGCGAACGGGUGAGUAACACGUGAGUAACCUGCCCUUGACUCUGGGAUAACUGCGGGAAACUGUAGCUAGUACCGGCUACGACCCUCGGAGGCAUCUCCUGGGGGUGGAAAGAAUUUCGGUCAAGGAUGGACUCGCGGCCUAUCAGCUAGUUGGUGAGGUAAAGGCUCACCAAGGCGACGACGGGUAGCCGGCCUGAGAGGGUGACCGGCCACACUGGGACUGAGACACGGCCCAGACUCCUACGGGAGGCAGCAGUGGGGAAUAUUGCACAAUGGGCGCAAGCCUGAUGCAGCAACGCCGCGUGAGGGAUGACGGCCUUCGGGUUGUAAACCUCUUUUAGCAGGGAAGAAGCGAAAGUGACGGUACCUGCAGAAAAAGCACCGGCUAACUACGUGCCAGCCGCCGCGGUAA